rnacentral:lncRNA from 1 species
UCGUGGUUGGAGUGAUAAUAGAGGAGGGUGGACUUGAUUGUUCUAGGAAUCCAAAAAUAUGAGCGAAGGUGAAGACACAAACCCAAAUCUGCCCCAUUUAAUAGGACCAAAUAAUAUGGUCUGAAUCAACCAAACAUUGUGGUAGUAUUAAUUUUGACACUUCAGGAAUACUUGCAUCUCAAAAAUUGGUGGAAAAGAAAAAAAUCA